UUUGAGAACCACUAAGCUGUUUUCGGAGCUGAUCUGAUUAAAUACAUCUAAUUAGUUGUCUCAGUCAAGCUGUUAAAACAUUGGAAAAGUGAUGGUAGCUUCAAUAUAUUCUUAAGUUUUAAGGUACUUUCAUCUGAGAAUAUUUACAGUGAACCUAGAAUAACAUGACCAAAAUUGCAUGGUAUUUAGUAAGAGUACAAGCUGGAUGAUACACAAGGGAAAUCAUGCAGGUGGAAGCAAGUGUCUAGUGAAGGGCUAUGGCACUGGAUGGUUGUGCUAAUCGGAAAGCUGUAGGAGUUUUGUUUGGUGUGAUUUGGAAAAUCCAGGUUUUCCCCCCAGUUUCCAAUUUGUGAUCAAGGCCUCGCUCCAGCGCAUGCAGCUCUCUGCAGAUGUCACGAUGCGUUCAUGUGUCCUCUGAAGCACAUCCGAUACCGCUCUGCAGAGACCACUCCGGUUCUUAUUACGCUCAGCCAGGACGUUUAGACAGGGAUUCUUACGCGCCGGAGGGAACACACUCUCCUGGCCUUCUACCUCCACUGAACUCGCAGAUAUCCAAGCUGCCACAAGGAGUAGCCAGAGAGUGAGGAGGCACGGAAGAAACGUUUGAUUACUAGCCCUCUCAACCCGACGGUGCUGGGUGAUUACAGGCUCGUCUGCAGGACCCCUGGGCUAAUUCUCAAGCAGGCUUCAAACCUGGAAGAGCAUUGCUGCUGCAAACUGCAAGGCAGUGACUUUUCUGCUGCACCUGGCUUCACCUGGUUGACCUUAGUGCUGUCUUCAGUACCACUGAUCGCCACAUUCUUUUGGAAGAGGUCCCUGACUCAAAUGUGUCUGUUUUCAUCAGAUGUGCUGCUUUUUUUAAAUGUAAUUUCUGUACAUUUUCAUUGUAAUGCCGAUGACCAUCAACUGUAUAUUUCAAUGAAUCAUGGCAAAGGCCCUUAACUUCCAUGUUUCAGACAAGGGAGUGGAUUUUCUUUAGAACUUUUCUUAUAAACUUGGGUUAAAGAGAAAAUGUAUGCUAGGUCUUGGUCACGGCACAAAGAGAUCUGCUGACAAUGACUUUCAAGGGUUGUCCAGUCUCCAUGUCAACCCAAACAUUACGGGACCUUUUCUCUAGAUCCUGAUCUCUCUUGACAAACAUAUAAACAAAUAUUUCAUUGCAUUU